GCAGAGUAAAUGGGGUAACAGCAAGAAUUUUGAUAUUAAUCGGUUUUGGUCAGCAUCUCGAUUUUAUUAAUUAAAUGUCUUAAGAAAACGUAAGUGCAAAAAACUAUAAAAAUUAGUCUACUUUUCUAAAUAGUUUUUCUAAAUAUUUUUAAUUCAUAUUCUGUAAAUGAAAAUAGCACUUGGUUUCAUAUAUAAUUAUUGAAUUUAUAACAUUGUUUUGUUUUUAUGACAUUCCAUUUCCGUAAUCAUUAUAAGCUUGCCUUUUUUGUUAAUUUUUAAUGGUUGAACUAAAUCAGUAUUUAAAUGAUAAAGAAAUUA